CAUGCAAGUCGAACGAUGAACCACUUCGGUGGGGAUUAGUGGCGAACGGGUGAGUAACACGUGGGCAAUCUGCCCUUCACUCUGGGACAAGCCCUGGAAACGGGGUCUAAUACCGGAUAAUACUUCCACUCGCAUGGGUGGGGGUUAAAAGCUCCGGCGGUGAAGGAUGAGCCCGCGGCCUAUCAGCUUGUUGGUGAGGUAAUGGCUCACCAAGGCGACGACGGGUAGCCGGCCUGAGAGGGCGACCGGCCACACUGGGACUGAGACACGGCCCAGACUCCUACGGGAGGCAGCAGUGGGGAAUAUUGCACAAUGGGCGAAAGCCUGAUGCAGCGACGCCGCGUGAGGGAUGACGGCCUUCGGGUUGUAAACCUCUUUCAGCAGGGAAGAAGCGAAAGUGACGGUACCUGCAGAAGAAGCGCCGGCUAACUACGUGCCAGCAGCCGCGGUAAUACGUAGGGCGCAAGCGUUGUCCGGAAUUAUUGGGCGUAAAGAGCUCGUAGGCGGUCUGUCACGUCGGAUGUGAAAGCCCGGGGCUUAACCCCGGGUCUGCAUUCGAUACGGGCAGACUAGAGUGUGGUAGGGGAGAUCGGAAUUCCUGGUGUAGCGGUGAAAUGCGCAGAUAUCAGGAGGAACACCGGUGGCGAAGGCGGAUCUCUGGGCCAUUACUGACGCUGAGGAGCGAAAGCGUGGGGAGCGAACAGGAUUAGAUACCCUGGUAGUCCACGCCGUAAACGGUGGGAACUAGGUGUUGGCGACAUUCCACGUCGUCGGUGCCGCAGCUAACGCAUUAAGUUCCCCGCCUGGGGAGUACGGCCGCAAGGCUAAAACUCAAAGGAAUUGACGGGGGCCCGCACAAGCAGCGGAGCAUGUGGCUUAAUUCGACGCAACGCGAAGAACCUUACCAAGGCUUGACAUACACCGGAAACGUCUGGAGACAGGCGCCCCCUUGUGGUCGGUGUACAGGUGGUGCAUGGCUGUCGUCAGCUCGUGUCGUGAGAUGUUGGGUUAAGUCCCGCAACGAGCGCAACCCUUGUUCUGUGUUGCCAGCAUGCCCUUCGGGGUGAUGGGGACUCACAGGAGACUGCCGGGGUCAACUCGGAGGAAGGUGGGGACGACGUCAAGUCAUCAUGCCCCUUAUGUCUUGGGCUGCACACGUGCUACAAUGGCCGGUACAAAGAGCUGCGAAACCGUGAGGUGGAGCGAAUCUCAAAAAGCCGGUCUCAGUUCGGAUUGGGGUCUGCAACUCGACCCCAUGAAGUCGGAGUUGCUAGUAAUCGCAGAUCAGCAUUGCUGCGGUGAAUACGUUCCCGGGCCUUGUACACACCGCCCGUCACGUCACGAAAGUCGGUAACACCCGAAGCCGGUGGCCCAACCCCUUGUGGGAGGGAGCUG
rnacentral:rRNA from 1 species